CCUCUUUUAAAAGCACUCUGUGGGCCUUUUGCUAAUAACCCAUAAGCUGUCAAGAAAGAGCAUUAGAAAUACUGGUUUUGGAUGAAGUAGUUGUGGCCUGUUGUGUGGUUUUGCUUCAGUCAGUGGUCUGGCAAGG